CUGUGGCUGAGCGACGCGGGCGGGACAUUCCCCUGGCCGCUCUGAACAACUGUUGCCUCACUUUCAGCGACGGCAGCAGCGAAGCGCACCACCAGUCCGUCCGCGUUCACAGUCACCUCUACCUCGGGCAUUGCGAUGACAGUUUCCUCCAGGGCUGGGCCGUCAUGGGCACCGGAGGAAAGGAAAGGGUCCCUAACAAACCCAAAGACUGCAGAGUUCGUGAAUGACAUUGAUCGCUCCUCGCCGUCUCUGCCAACCACAAUGAGCACUCCUGAGUAGGUGAUAAUAUAUGCUGCUGUGCGCUGGAGGACGGAGCAGCCCUGGCAGCGUCGCGGGGACAACAGCCACUUUGUCUUGGCCGGCUUGGCAUCUUGGGCACCUGGGCUUGGCCACGAUCUGGACCCCAGUCACCAGCCGGCGCAGAUUCUCCUCAGCCCUGACGGUCAUCAAACUGAGGGAAGAGGGCUGCCCUAUUUCCGCGGUGGUCGUGACCACUGUAGAGGGUGUGGUGGUCAACACAGUCCGGUCACCCUCCUUUCUAGUGGUCAAGGAGUGGAAAGAAUAGCACUUUCCCAACUGCACUGAGGAUCAGCCGGUCCCACACAGUCAUCGCCGUCUGUCCCGUCCUAUCGCACACCUCGAAGGUCAGCUCCACUGGCGCGCCUUGGACCUGCACCACCUUGUUCGCAAUAACCUGCAGGACCCUGACCUAGGGUGACCAGAUCACAAUUCACAAGAUGUGGGACAAUGACUACGUUUGUGUGGGACAAUGUGGGAUACCAAUGCAUCGAGGAGUGAGCCGGAGGCGACCGGAGGACCCCCGCAGACCCCGAGGGCGGGCCUGACCAGGGGGACCCCCACCCUGAUACAGCGCUCCCCCAGAAGGUCUGAGUCCAGGGGGUCCAGGAGCGUCUCGUGGCCCUGCGGUCCUCCGGGACGGUUUAUUUAUCUGUACUUUUUGUACCUGAUGGAAGUCUGUUCUCUUUCCCUACCAGAGUUUUGUACUUUGUUGAUAAUAAUAAUUAAUAAAUAUUUAUUACAAUUA